rnacentral:rRNA from 1 species
AGGGCGUAUGGGGAAUGCCUAGGCUCUCAGAGGCGAUGAAGGACGCGAUAAGCUGCGAAAAGCUGUGGGGAGGUGCACAUAACUUGUGAUCCGCAGAUAUCCGAAUGGGGCAACCCACUAUAUUGAAGGUAUAGUAUCCCGUAAGGGAAGUGAACCCGGUGAACUGAAACAUCUAAGUAGCCGGAGGAAGAGAAAACAAAAGUGAUUCCGGGAGUAGUGGCGAGCGAAACCGGAUUAGCCCAAACCAGUGUUGUUUCGGCAAUACUGGGGUUGUAGGACCACGACAUUGAUUGCGUAAUGAAUUAGAACACUUUGGAAAGAGUGACCGAAGAGGGUGAUAGUCCCGUACAAGUAAAGAGCGUUAAUUAUAGUGGUAUCCUGAGUAGUGCGGGGCACGUGAAACCCUGUAUGAAUCAAGCGGGACCAUCCGUUAAGGCUAAAUACUCCUGAGAGACCGAUAGUGAACCAGUACCGUGAGGGAAAGGUGAAAAGAACCCUGAAUAAGGGAGUGAAAUAGAUCCUGAAACCAUACGCUUACAAGCGGUCGGAGCCAUUCGUGGUGACGGCGUGCCUUUUGCAUAAUGAGCCUACGAGUUACCGUUUCUAGCAAGGUUAAGCACUUCAGGUGCGGAUCCGUAGCGAAAGCGAGUCUGAAUAGGGCGACCAUAGUUAGUAGUAGUAGACGCGAAACCGUGUGAUCUACCCAUGGGCAGGUUGAAGCUUUGUUAACCCAAAGUGGAGGACCGAACCCGUUGACGUUGAAAAGUCUUGGGAUGACCUGUGGGUAGGGGUGAAAGGCCAAUCAAACUCGGAAAUAGCUCGUACUCCCCGAAAUGCAUUUAGGUGCAGCGUUGAGUGAAAGUUUUAUAGAGGUAGAGCUACUGAUUGGAUGCGGGGGCUUCACCGCCUACCAAUUCCUGACAAACUCCGAAUGCUAUAAAAUGUUGUUGAGCAGUGAGGGCAUGGGUGCUAAGGUCCAUGUCCGAGAGGGAAAGAACCCAGAUCAUCAGCUAAGGUCCCCAAGUGUAUGCUAAGUUGACAAAACGCGGUAAAACUGCAUUGACAGCCAGGAUGUUGGCUUGGAAGCAGCCAUUCAUUUAAAGAGUGCGUAACAGCUCACUGGUCGAGCGGUUUUGCAUGGAUAAUAAUCGGGCAUAAGUAUACCACCGAAGCUAUGACUUUGUCUUAUGACAAGGGGUAGGGGAGCAUUCUAUGGGCAUUGAAGGUGCUGGCGUGAGCCGUGCUGGAGCGCAUAGAAACGAAAAUGUAGGCAUAAGUAACGAUAAUGCGGGCGAGAAACCCGCACGCCGAAAGACCAAGGUUUCCCCAGCUAUGCUAAUCAGCUGGGGGUCAGUCGGGACCUAACGCGAACCCGAACGGGGUAGUGGAUGGACAAUCAGUUAAUAUUCUGAUACCUGCUCACAUUAAAAGUGACGGGGAUGAGGCGUUGGUGCGAAGAGACGGAAUUCUUCGUUGAAGGUAGCGGAAGCUACUGAUAGUACACUGAGGCUUCGGCCAAGGUGAUAAUCCAGCUUAUCAUCCUCCAAGAAAAACAAGUGAAGCAGCCCGUACCGUAAACCGACACAGGUGGUUGGGAUGAGUAUUCUAAGGCGCUCGAGAGAUUCAUGGCUAAGGAACUAGGCAAAAUAGACCCGUAACUUCGGGAGAAGGGUCGCCCCCUUAUGGGGGGCCGCAGUGAAGAGGUCCAGGCGACUGUUUAUCAAAAACACAGGGCUCUGCUAAAUCGAAAGAUGACGUAUAGGGCCUGACACCUGCCCGGUGCUGGAAGGUUAAGAGGAGAUGUUAUUUUUCGGAAGAAGCAUUGAAUUGAAGCCCCAGUAAACGGCGGCCGUAACUAUAACGGUCCUAAGGUAGCGAAAUUCCUUGUCGGGUAAGUUCCGACCUGCACGAAUGGUGCAACGAUCUGGACACUGUCUCGGCCAUGAGCUCGGUGAAAUUGUAGUAACGGUGAAGAUGCCGUUUACCCGCAGUGGGACGAAAAGACCCCGUGCACCUUUACUAUAGCUUCGUAUUGACCCUGGAUAAGUAAUGUGUAGGAUAGCUAGGAGACUUUGAAGCGGCGUCGCCAGGCGUUGUGGAGUCAUUGUUGAAAUACUAGCCUUUGCUUAUUUGGGGCCUAACUCUCGAAAGAGAGAACAGUGCGUGGUGGGUAGUUUGACUGGGGUGGUCGCCUCCAAAAGAGUAACG